CUGCAGCAAACGCAUUAAGCACUCCGCCUGGGGAGUACGACCGCAAGGUUGAAACUCAAAGGAAUUGACGGGGGCCCGCACAAGCGGUGGAGCAUGUGGUUUAAUUCGAAGCAACGCGAAGAACCUUACCAGGUCUUGACAUCCUUUGACCACUCUAGAGAUAGAGCUUUCCCUUCGGGGACAAAGUGACAGGUGGUGCAUGGUUGUCGUCAGCUCGUGUCGUGAGAUGUUGGGUUAAGUCCCGCAACGAGCGCAACCCUUAUUGUUAGUUGCCAUCAUUUAGUUGGGCACUCUAGCGAGACUGCCGGUGACAAACCGGAGGAAGGUGGGGAUGACGUCAAAUCAUCAUGCCCCUUAUGACCUGGGCUACACACGUGCUACAAUGGGAAGUACAACGAGUCGCUAGACCGCGAGGUCAUGCAAAUCUCUUAAAGCUUCUCUCAGUUCGGAUUGCAGGCUGCAACUCGCCUGCAUGAAGCCGGAAUCGCUAGUAAUCGCGGAUCAGCACGCCGCGGUGAAUACGUUCCCGGGCCUUGUACACACCGCCCGUCACACCACGAGAGUUUGUAACACCCGAAGUCGGUGAGGUAACCUUUUUGGAGCCAGCCGCCUAAGGUGGGAUAGAUGAUUGGGGUGAAGUCGUAACAAGGUAGCCGUAUCGGAAGGUGCGGCUG
rnacentral:rRNA from 1 species